GAUGAACGCUAGCGGCAGGCCUAACACAUGCAAGUCGAGCGGGAUCCACUUUCGGGUGGUGAGAGCGGCGCACGGGUGCGUAACGCGUAUGCAACCUACCCUUCGCUACGGGAUAGCCCAGGGAAACCUGGCUUAACACCGCAUAGUAUGCGGCCACAUCAUGGGGGCUGGAUUAAAGGCUACGGCAAAAGAUGGGCAUGCGUCCUAGUAGCUAGAUGGUAAGGUAACGGCUUACCAUGGCUACGAGAGGUAGUGGCCCUGAGAGGGGGAUCCCCCACACUGGUACUGGGACACGUACCAGACUCCUACGGGAGGCAGCAGUGAGGAAUGUUGGACAAUGGGCGGAAGCCUGAGCCAGCCAUGCCGCGUGCAGGAAGACGGCCCUAUGGGUUGUAAACUGCUUUUGUACGGGAAGAAACACCCCCUCGUGAGGGGGCUUGACGGUACCGUAAGAAUAAGGAUCGGCUAACUCCGUGCCAGCCGCCGCCGUAA
rnacentral:rRNA from 1 species